CGAACGCUGGCGGCGUGCUUAACACAUGCAAGUCGAACGGAAAGGCCCCUUUGGGGGUACUCGAGUGGCGAACGGGUGAGUAACACGUGAGUAACCUGCCCUUGACUUCGGGAUAACUUCAGGAAACUGGGGCUAAUACCGGAUAGGAAUCCUUGCUGCAUGGUGGGGGUUGGAAAGCUUCGGCGGGUUUGGAUGGACUCGCGGCUUAUCAGCUUGUUGGUGGGGUAGUGGCUUACCAAGGCUUUGACGGGUAGCCGGCCUGAGAGGGCGACCGGCCACAUUGGGACUGGGAUACGGCCCAGACUCCUACGGGAGGCAGCAGUGGGGAAUAUUGCACAAUGGGCGGAAGCCUGAUGCAGCAACGCCGCGGGCGGGAUGACGGCCUUCGGGUUGUAAACCGCUUUCAGCAGGGGCGAAGCUUGUGGUGACGGUACCUGCAGAAGAAGCACCGGCUAACUACGUG
rnacentral:rRNA from 1 species